UACGUAGGGUGCAAGCGUUGUCCGGAAUUAUUGGGCGUAAAGGGCUCGUAGGCGGUCUGUCGCGUCGGGAGUGAAAACUCAGGGCUUAACCCUGAGCCUGCUUCCGAUACGGGCAGACUAGAGGUAUGCAGGGGAGAACGGAAUUCCUGGUGUAGCGGUGAAAUGCGCAGAUAUCAGGAGGAACACCGGUGGCGAAGGCGGGUCUCUGGGCAGUAACUGACGCUGAGGAGCGAAAGCGUGGGGAGCGAACAGG
rnacentral:rRNA from 1 species